rnacentral:miRNA from 1 species
CCUUGUUAUUAAGUGCAUGCAUUUAUAUGUGUGUGUGUUUACGUGCACACGUGCACAGACGCACACACGUGUGACAGUACUCGGGCUUGAAU